rnacentral:rRNA from 1 species
CACGACCAUACCACGCUGAACCACCGGUUCUCGUCCGAUCCCGAAGUUAAGCAACGUCGGGCCCGGUUAGUACUUAGAUGGGGGACCGCUUA